rnacentral:rRNA from 1 species
GACAGAGGGGCAAGCGUUGUCCGGACUGACUGGGCGUAAAGCGCGCGCAGGCGGUCUCGGGCGUCGGUGCUGAAAGUCCACCGCUUAACGGUGGGAUGCGUGCCGAUACGCCGAGACUGGAGGGUGGGCGGAGGGUGGUGGAAUUGCCGGUGUAGUGGUGAAAUGCGUAGAGAUCGGCAGGAACACCGUGGUGAAACGGCCACCUAGCCCAUACCUGACGCUGAGGCGCGAACAGCGUGGGGAGCGAACGGG